rnacentral:lncRNA from 1 species
CCUCUACCAACGGGUUGCAGUGUGCACGUACUUGCCACCGUGAAUUGGAAUCCCUUUACCUUUCGGUUUCUCAGAUUCGGCGUUGUUUUCCAUUUCCUUUCGUUUCUCUGCACACAAACCGAAGCGAGCAAGGAAAGUGAAUGAGAAUUGUGAUUCAGGAUUUCAGAAUGUGAUUAUUAUUAGGUCCACUUUGACUUCAAUGGCUUUUGCUUUUUGGCGA